UUAUUUAUCCUAGUAAUUUAUCAAGAAACCGCGUAAAAUUGUCCCCAUAAUACUAAUAAUAUUCAUUAAUAAAAUAACUCAUGACGUCACGAGAUGAACACGACGCGUUUAUAAUUGUUGCGAGACAUCCUCCAUCCUUCUCUCAAACCGCUUUUCCUACUCUAACUCGUAGCGCAAACGGGCCGAAUUUGCCGCCACAAUACCCCGAAAACCCCGCGCUUACGUCAUCUGACCAUGUGCAACUCGAUAGUGACGUCGUCCGUAUGCCUUUACAUUGGGUCAAUUUGGUGCUGGACCGCCAACUAUUUUGUACCAUGCGUUGGCUCCCGUGGUGUCGACGGUAUGACUGGUUGAUUGGAACGGCUUAUUUUUGGGGGUUUUUCUUAAAUAACAGCGCAUUGCGGAACAACGGUAACAUUUGAAGAAAAACGGUUUUUAGUGGAUUAUAGCCAGAUAGUGUCCGGUGAUUUCAGAAAAAAAAUGGUUUCCGUAGGUGUCAUAGGUAUGCCGGUAUAAAGCGUCAAAGUUAAAAAAAGGUGUAGAGCAAAAACUGCUCUACGUAGAAGACUGUAGACUAUGUCGAAAAAUAGGAUUUAAAAAGUUCUUAAAAUGCUGAAAGUUUGAAAUUUCUAGGUGCCGCCAAUAAAGAGUUAUUAAGAAAAGUAGAAAAAAACGGUCAAAAAAAGGCUCAAAAAGGGGUUUAUAUUUGUUAACACAGCUCACCCCGUAUAAUACGUAGCACCAUGAAUAAUACCUCUAUUUAAUCCUAAAGGAUUAAGCUUUCAAACGGUGUAAACAAAAAAAAUUAAAAAAAUUUUUUAGAAGUAGAAAAAAAUUUAUUUCUCGAAAAAUUCACUUUUUUUUUUUCGAAAAAAAAAAUUUUAAGUUUGAGCUCGUUUAUCUCGGAAGGAGUUUCUUUUGGAAAAAAAUAGUUAAGAUAAAAAAGAAAGCUACAUUUACGUAGAAAAGGGCUGUUUUAUUCGCAUUAUCGGGAACAUUACCGUUUAGGCCCCACGGCCAUUUAAGUCCGCGAGGUACCGCGCAAAAAGUUCAAAAUUCAUUCACAGAAAAAUCCGACUUCUAAAGGGUUUAUCUUAAAAAGCGCCCUUUAGGAGCUGCUUUAUAUAAAGGCCUUUAACGUCAAUGAGUUUCAGAAAAAUCGGCCCGGUCAGUUUUCCACAACGACUUAAUCAAAUUUUUUUUGUCAAAAAACCGUUUUUUGCCACGCCCACCCCUUCGGGGUGGGCGUGGCGAAAAAAUUUUUUCACCGUUAUAUACUCUCAUCCUUCCUACAUAUAACGGUAAAAACCGGAAAAAAAAAAUCGCGAUAGAACCAAAGUUAUUAGCGUUUAUGUGACGCAGGGUCCGAAAAUCCCUCAAUUUAGCUGGAUGCGUUCUUACAAUACGCGAAGCGUAUUGUAACAAGUAGACGCUUCGCGUCUACUUUAGUCCGUGGGGACCAGUAGAAAUUUUAAAAAUUUUUGUCAGUACUACAAAAAAAAAAUCUCCAAAAUUAUCCAAGGAGUGCCCUAAACACGCAGUGGGGAAGAGACCUGCCGUAUCCUCAUAAGGCUCUGAGUUCAAACCUUAGCCUCGGCAUGGUGCUCUACCCAACUUUUUCUUUUUUUAGUACUUGGAAAACAUUAACAUCUAUAAUAAAUCCAAAAAUCUCAUCCAUUAUUCUCUAAGAGACCAACAUACAAAAUUGACGAAACACAAAGUCACGGUCUCACAACAUGUAAUUAAACGGGCUACACGUGUUUCGCUCUAGUUAGAGCAUCAUCAGGCCUUUAGAAGCCAUCCACACACUUAUGCUGUAACUGAUGAUGCUCUAACUAGAGCGAAACACGUGUAGCCCGUUUAAUUACAUGUUGUGAGACCGUGACUUUGUGUUUUUCUUUGUUUUUCGUCAAUCUAUAGUAAAUACAGAGAGAAAAGGAAAGGUCUUAUUAUAUAUUAUAAUCAAAAAUAAAUUUCAUUGAAAUAUUACUAACUUAUUUCUGGGUAUCAUGCUUCAGAGAACCAUGAUGUGUUACAAUACGCUCCGCUCUUUAAUUUUAGUUUAGUAGAAAAUAUUCUCAAAACCUACAUAUAUCAAAAUUAUGUCAGGGUUCUAAAAUGAAUCGGUAAUAAAAUCGUAAACCAGAUCAACAUUGGAAAUAAUUUAAAAAAUUUGCUUUGGUCCGAUUGAAAAAAGUACUAUACUACCAAAUAGUUACAUCUAUUCUGUAGCAAUAAAAGUUAUAAAAUUCUGUCUAUUAUUAAUUUUAAUAUUAUAAAGUGUAUCGUUUAACUCUUAGCCAUUAUUUAUAAUUUAAUUGUUAAUUAUGCCUAAAAAAACGAAUUAACAACUUUGGUAUUGUUUGGAAGGUAAACAGCUUAAUUCCUUUAUGUAAAGCCACCUUAACAUGUUUUUGCAUAAUUCUGACUCACGUUGGUUGCUAUCGGGCUUAAGCCAUAAAAAUCGAAGAAAAAAAGAAGAAGACGAAGAGACUUUCACUUGUCAUUUCAAUGUCACUUUCCGGCCCACAAGCAUAAACGCCACCGGCAACGGAAGUUCCCAAAAUCCAAACAAAUGUUGGAAGAUAUUUUUAAGUCUCCGCAUCUUUCUUACUUUCCUAUAUGAAAAUAAAAUGUAAGUAUCACAAUUACACACAUACAAGUUUUUUUUUUUAAUUCAGUUUCAUAAUUACCAAUUUUUAGUGAAUAAUCCUGAAAUUUAUGAAAAUACAUACAUUUUAAGGUUAUGUCAUAAUGUUUUGAUUGUUAUAUUUGAUUUUGUUUUUGUUAUUUUAGUGGACUACACCAACAAAGGUUAUGUGUUUUGCACCAGAUUGAAAGCAUCAUAGCGAAAAACGGACCUGUCAUAUCUUUAAAUUUUCAAAAGAGCCCCUGGAAAAAGAAAAAUGAAUAUCUUUGCCAAGGAAUAGGUACUAAGGCAAAUGGAUAAAAAACCUUCAGUCCAUGCAUUGGUAUGUAAUUGUUGACAAAAAUACAAUGAAUGGCCUCACUACUUUUCCACAUGCAAAGAGGUUAACCAAGGAGAAAUUAAAGAAAUUGUCAAAAACCUAGGUAAAUACAGAAUUGCUUAGUACAAACAUAUCUAUACCCAGUACAAGUUCGUCCACUUCUUUGAAGCAUGGUACUUCAAACAGAGACACUGUCAACAAUUUUGUAGAAGGUGAGCCGGUGUCAAAUUCCAGUAAGGGACAUGAUUUCAAUUUUGCACCAACAGCAGAGCUAAAAUUCAUUUUGCCGCAAAAAACUGGAGGAUGUGAAAGAAAAAAGUGCAGAAGUUAAAAUUAAGUUUUUCAUAUGAGCACAUAAAAAAUAAUCAUGACAAAGUUCAGUUGUAUACAGGUUUGACAUGUAAUAAAUAUUUUUGUAAUCUUAUUAAGUUAAUUAGUUUUAUAUAUUAUUUAAAUAAUAAUUGUAUACUUCACAUAGAA